GCCGGAGUGGUGGAAUUGGUAUACACGUACGACUCAAAAUCGUAUGCUGCAAGGCUUGUGAGUUCGAGUCUCACCUCCGGCA
rnacentral:tRNA from 1 species